rnacentral:rRNA from 1 species
UACGGAGGGUGCAAGCGUUAUCCGGAUUUACUGGGUUUAAAGGGUGCGUAGGCGGGCAAUUAAGUCUGUGGUGAAAUCCCCGAGCUCAACUCGGGAACUGCCAUGGAUACUAUUUGUCUUGAAUACCGUGGAGGUGAGCGGAAUAUGGCAUGUAGCGGUGAAAUGCUUAGAUAUGCCAUGGAACACCGAUUGCGAAGGCAGCUCACUACACGGUGAUUGACGCUGAUGCACGAAAGCGUGGGUAGCGAACAGG